rnacentral:rRNA from 1 species
GACGAACGCUGGCGGCGUGCUUAACACAUGCAAGUCGAACGGAAAGGCCCUGCUUUUGUGGGGUGCUCGCGUGGCGAACGGGUGAGUAACCCGUGAGUAACCUGCGCUUGACUUUGGGAUAACUUCAGGAAGCUGGGGCUAAUACAGGCUAGGAGCUGCUGCUGCAUGGUGGGGGUUGGAAAGUUUCGGCGGUUGGGGAUGGACUCGCGGCUAAUCAGCUUGUUGGUGGGGUAGUGGCUUACCAAGGGUUUGGCGGGUAGCCGGCCUGAGAGCGUGACCGCGCACAAUGCGACUGAGAGACGGCCCAGAGUCCUACAGUAGGCAGUAGGGGGGAGUAUUGUACAGUGGUCGGAAGCGUGAGGCAGAAACGCUGCGUGCGUGAUGACGGCCUUCGUGUGGUAAACCGCUGUAGCCUGCUACGAAGCGUUAGUGACGGUAAUGAGUAAAGAAGCACCGGCUAACUACGUG